UUGAACGCUGGCGGCAUGGUUAAAACAUGCAAGUCGAACGCGAAAGGCUUCGGCCGAGUAGAGUGGCGAAAGGGCGAGUAAUAUGUUUCUAACGUACCCCGAAGUGCGGGAUAGCUCCCCCGAAAGGGGAAUUAAUACCGCAUAACCCCGCGAGGCCGUAUGGCUUUGCGGGCAAAGGCUUGCCUGCUUCGGGAGCGGGGAACAUCCUAUCAGGUAGUUGGUGGGGGUAAUGGCCCACCAAGCCUAAGACGGGUAGCGGGUGUGAGAGCACGGCCCGCCGCAUCGGGACUGAGACACUGCCCGGACUCCUACGGGAGGGCUGGCAGUAACGAAUAUUCCACAAUGCGCGAAAGCGUGAUGGAGCGAUGCCCGCGUGCAGGAUGAAGCCCCCUCGGGGUGUAAACUGCUGUCAGGGGUUACCAAUCAAUUGAGGGAGCCCCAGAGGAAGAGACGGCUAACUCUGUGCCAGCAGCCGCGGUAAUACAGAGGUCUCAAGCGUUAAUCGGAGUCACUGGGCUUAAAGGGUGCGUUGGGGCGGCGCUGCAAGUGCCUUGUGAAAUCCCACGGCUCAACCGUGGAAUUGCUCGGCAGACUGCGGCGCUUGAGGUCGGUAGGGGUCGCCGGAACUCUAGGUGGAGCGGUGAAAUGCGUAGAUAUCUAGAGGAACGCCAAAGGUGAAGAACAGGCGACUGGGCCGAUUCUGACCGCUGAGGCACGAAAGCGUGGGGGAGCGAACGGGAUUAGAUACCCCGGUAGUCCCACGCCCCUAAACGAUGUGCACUAGAUCGUCGAGGGUUUUGGACGCCCCCGAUGGUCGAAGGAAAACUAUUAAGUGCACCGCCUGGGGAGUACGGUCGCAAGGCUAAAACUCAAAGGAAUUGACGGGGGCUCACACAAGCGGUGGAGCAUGUGGCUCAAUUCGAAGCAACGCGAAGAACCUUAUCCUGGGCUUGACAUGUAUGGAUUAGGCCCGUGGAAACACGGACUGACACUCUUGUAGUGGAAACAUACACAGGUGCUGCAUGGCUGUCGUCAGCUCGUUGCUGUGAAGUGUCGGGUUAAGUCCCUUAACGAGCGAAACCCCCUAUCUCUAGUUUGCUAACGCGUCAUGGCGAGGGACUCUAGCGAGGACUUGCCGGUGUCCAAACCGGAGGAAGGUGGGGAUGACGUCAAGUCCUCAUGGCCUUUAUGCCCAGGGCUGCACACGUGCUACAAUGGCGUUUACGAAGCGAAGCGAGACCGCAAGGUGGGAGCAAAUCGCAUAAAAAAACGCCCCCAGUUUCAGAUUGGAGUCCUGCAACUCGACUCCAUGAAGUUGGAAUCGCUAGUAAUCGCGGAUCAGCUACGCCGCGGUGAAUAUGUUCCUGAGCCUUGUACACACCGCCCGUCAAGUCAUGGGAGCCGGGAAUACCCGAAGUCGCCCCUAUCUCAAGGGUGCCUACGGUAGGCUCGGUGACUGGGACU
rnacentral:rRNA from 1 species